rnacentral:rRNA from 1 species
UACGGAGGGUGCAAACGUUGUUCGGAAUUACUGGGCGUAAAGGGCUCGUAGGCGGCCAACUAAGUCGGACGUGAAAUCCCUCAGCUUAACUGGGGAACUGCGUCCGAUACUGGAUGGCUUGGAUUUGGGAGAGGGAUGCGGAAUUCCAGGUGUAGCGGUGAAAUGCGUAGAUAUCUGGAGGAACACCGGUGGCGAAGGCGGCAUCCUGGACCAAUAUUGACGCUGAGGAGCGAAAGCCAGGAGAGCAGACGGG